UCCGGCUUAUCACCGGCAGUUUCUUUAGAGUGCUCAACUAAAUGGUAGCAACUAAAGACGAGGGUUGCGCUCGUUGCGGGACUUAACCCAACAUCUCACGACACGAGCUGACGACAGCCAUGCAGCACCUCUACAGCGGCCUCCGAAGAGGGGGACUCAUCUCUGAGCCUUUCCACUGCAGUUCAAACCCAGGUAAGGUUCUGCGCGUUGCUCCGAAUUAGACCACAUGCUCCACCGCUUGUGCGGGCCCCCGUCAAUUCCUUUGAGUUUCAGUCUUGCGACCGUACUCCCCAGGCGGAGUGCUUAAUGUGUUGACUUCGGCACAGCAGGGGACGAUACCCGCUACACCAAGCACUCAUCGUUUACGGCGUGGACUAC
rnacentral:misc_RNA from 1 species